rnacentral:rRNA from 1 species
UUAAGUGACUAAGCGUACACGGUGGAUGCCUUGGCAGUCAGAGGCGAUGAAGGACGUAUUAACUUGCGAUAAGCCCAGAUUAGGCAGUAAAAGCCACUUGAGUCUGGGAUUUCCGAAUGGGGAAACCCACUUACAUAAGUAAGUAUCCUGUUGUGAAUACAUAGCAACAGGAGGCGAACCGGGGGAACUGAAACAUCUAAGUACCCCGAGGAAAAGAAAUCAACCGAGAUUCCGAAAGUAGCGGCGAGCGAAAUUGGACUAGCCCUUAAGCUUUAUAAGCGUUAGGUGAACAAGCUGGAAAGCUUGGCGAUACAGGGUGAUAGCCCCGUAACUGACGACGCAUAUUCAGUGAAAUCGAGUAGGGCGGGACACGUGAUAUCCUGUCUGAAUAUGGGGGGACCAUCCUCCAAGGCUAAAUACUACUGACUGACCGAUAGUGAACCAGUACCGUGAGGGAAAGGCGAAAAGAACCCCUGUGAGGGGAGUGAAAUAGAACCUGAAACCGUGUACGUACAAGCAGUAGGAGCAGGCUUUGUCCUGUGACUGCGUACCUUUUGUAUAAUGGGUCAGCGACUUAUAUUCAGUGGCAAGGUUAACCAUCUAGGGGAGCCGUAGGGAAACCGAGUCUUAACUGGGCGUUCAGUCUCUGGAUAUAGACCCGAAACCAGGUGAUCUAGCCAUGGGCAGGUUGAAGGUUGAGUAACAUCAACUGGAGGACCGAACCGACUAAUGUUGAAAAAUUAGCGGAUGACUUGUGGCUAGGGGUGAAAGGCCAAUCAAACCUGGAGAUAGCUGGUUCUCCCCGAAAGCUAUUUAGGUAGCGCCUCGGACGAAUACUACUGGGGGUAGAGCACUGUUAAGGCUAGGGGGUCAUCCCGACUUACCAACCCUUUGCAAACUCCGAAUACCAGUAAGUACUAUCCGGGAGACACACGGCGGGUGCUAACGUCCGUCGUGGAGAGGGAAACAACCCAGACCGCCAGCUAAGGUCCCAAAUUACUACUAAGUGGGAAACGAUGUGGGAAGGCUCAGACAGCCAGGAUGUUGGCUUAGAAGCAGCCAUCAUUUAAAGAAAGCGUAAUAGCUCACUGGUCGAGUCGGCCUGCGCGGAAGAUGUAACGGGGCUAAGUAGUAAACCGAAGCUGCGGCAAUACUCUUUGAGUAUUGGGUAGGGGAGCGUUCUGUAAGCGGUUGAAGGUGUGUGGUAACGCAUGCUGGACGUAUCAGAAGUGCGAAUGCUGACAUGAGUAACGAUAAAGGGGGUGAAAAACCUCCUCGCCGGAAGACCAAGGGUUCCUGUCCAACGUUAAUCGGGGCAGGGUAAGUCGACCCCUAAGGCGAGGCCGAAAGGCGUAGUCGAUGGGAAACGGGUUAAUAUUCCCGUACUUCUUACAAUUGCGAUGGGGGGACGGAGAAGGCUAGGUGGGCCUGGCGACGGUUGUCCAGGUUCAAGUGCGUAGGCUUGAGAGUUAGGUAAAUCCGGCUCUCUCUAAGGCUGAGACACGAUGUCGAGCACCUACGGGUGUGAAGUCAUUGAUGCCAUGCUUCCAGGAAAAGCCUCUAAGCUUCAGAUUGUAAGGAAUCGUACCCCAAACCGACACAGGUGGUCGGGUAGAGAAUACCAAGGCGCUUGAGAGAACUCGGGUGAAGGAACUAGGCAAAAUGGUACCGUAACUUCGGGAGAAGGUACGCUCUCGACGGUGAAGUCCCUCGCGGAUGGAGCUAUUGAGAGUCGCAGAUACCAGGUGGCUGCAACUGUUUAUUAAAAACACAGCACUGUGCAAAAUCGUAAGAUGACGUAUACGGUGUGACGCCUGCCCGGUGCCGGAAGGUUAAUUGAUGGGGUUAGACUUCGGUCGAAGCUCUUGAUCGAAGCCCCGGUAAACGGCGGCCGUAACUAUAACGGUCCUAAGGUAGCGAAAUUCCUUGUCGGGUAAGUUCCGACCUGCACGAAUGGCGUAAUGAUGGCCACGCUGUCUCCACCCGAGACUCAGUGAAAUUGAAAUCGCUGUGAAGAUGCAGUGUACCCGCGGCUAGACGGAAAGACCCCGUGAACCUUUACUACAGCUUGGCACUGAACAUUGACCCUACAUGUGUAGGAUAGGUGGGAGGCUUUGAAAC